UACGUAGGGGGCAAGCGUUGCUCGGAAUCACUGGGCGUAAAGCGCACGUAGGCGGACUCUUAAGUCGGUGGUGAAAUCCUGGAGCUCAACUCCAGAACUGCCUUCGAUACUGGGAGUCUUGAGUCCGGGAGAGGUGAGUGGAACUGCGAGUGUAGAGGUGAAAUUCGUAGAUAUUCGCAAGAACACCAGUGGCGAAGGCGGCUCACUGGCCCGGUACUGACGCUGAGGUGCGAAAGCGUGGGGAGCAAACAGG
rnacentral:rRNA from 1 species